rnacentral:ncRNA from 2 species
UGAUAAUAUUAAAAUCACACUCUUAUAAUUCUAAGAAUAUUGCUUAGAAGUUUCUACGGAAUAACCGUAAAUUAUUCAGCUAAAGUGAGUUUAUCUCCUUU